GAUGAACGCUGGCGGCGUGCCUAAUACAUGCAAGUCGAGCGAACAGACGAGGAGCUUGCUCCUCUGACGUUAGCGGCGGACGGGUGAGUAACACGUGGAUAACCUACCUAUAAGACUGGGAUAACUUCGGGAAACCGGAGCUAAUACCGGAUAAUAUAUUGAACCGCAUGGUUCAAUAGUGAAAGACGGUUUUGCUGUCACUUAUAGAUGGAUCCGCGCCGCAUUAGCUAGUUGGUAAGGGAACGGCUUACCAAGGCGACGAUGCGUAGCCGACCUGAGAGGGUGAUCGGCCACACUGGAACUGAGACACGGUCCAGACUCCUACGGGAGGCAGCAGUAGGGAAUCUUCCGCAAUGGGCGAAAGCCUGACGGAGCAACGCCGCGUGAGUGAUGAGGGUCUUCGGAUCGUAAAACUCUGUUAUUAGGGAAGAACAAAUGUGUAAGUAACUAUGCACGUCUUGACGGUACCUAAUCAGAAAGCCACGGCUAACUACGUGCCAGCCGCCGCCGUAACAC
rnacentral:rRNA from 1 species